GAAAAGAAAAAAAAAAAAGGAAAAUUAAAAUCUGGCUGCAUUUUGUUUUAUUUUUUAUUUAAUUUUUAAAUAGAAAUUAUUGGGCAUUUAUUUAUUUAUUUUUUUGUCGAAGCAUUCUGAUGGAUGAUGAUGAUGACAGAAGUAGUGGACUCUGUAUAUUUUAUCAUUGAAGAUAGCUUAUUGAAAGACAAAGAAGCUUUACGUUUAUAUAAUAAGAUUAUAC
rnacentral:misc_RNA from 1 species